rnacentral:rRNA from 1 species
AUUGAACGCUGGCGGCAGGCCUAACACAUGCAAGUCGAACGAGUGGCGGGCGGGUGAGUAAUGUCUGGGAACCUCCCUGAUGGAGGGGGUUAACUACUGGAAACGGUAGCUAAUACCGCAUACCAUCAGAUGUGCCCAGAUGGGUUUAGCUUGGUGGUGGGGUAACGGCUCACCAAGGCGACGAUCCCUAGCUGGUCUGAGAGGAUGACAGGCCCCACGGGAACUGAGACGCGGUCCAGACUACUACGGGAGGCAGCAGUGGGGAAUAGUGCACAAUGGGCGCGAGCCGGAUGCAGCCAGGCCGCGUGUAUGGAGAAGGCCUUCGGGUGGGAAAGUACUUUCAGCGGGGAGGCGUUACCCGCAGAAGAAGCACCGGCUAACUACGUGCCAGCAGCCGCGGUAAUAC